AGCGAACGCUGGCGGCGUGCCUAAUACAUGCAAGUCGAACGGAGUGGCGCACGGGUGAGUAAUAUAUAGCUACUCUGCCCCUUGCUGGAGGACAACAGUUAGAAAUGACUGCUAAUACUCCAUAGCAAGGGGUGAGACUAUACCGUAUCAGCUAGUCGGUGGGGUAACGGCCUACCGAGGCUAUGACGCGUAACUGGUCUGAGAGGAUGAUCAGUCAAAUUGGAAGUGAGACACGGUCCGGACUCCUACGGGAAGCGACGGUAGGGAGUAUGGCGAAAUGGGGGAGAGCCAGACGCGUCAACGGCGCGUAGAGGUUGACACUUUUCGGAGCGUAAGCUCCUUUUGAUAGGGAAGCGGUACCUAACGAGUAAGCACCGGCUAACUCCGUGCCAGCAGCCGCGGUAAUAC
rnacentral:rRNA from 1 species